rnacentral:rRNA from 1 species
UGANGGUNCCGGAANAAUAAGCACCGGCUAACUUCGUGCCAGCAGCCGCGNUAAUACGAAGGGUGCAAGCGUUACUCGGAAUUACUGGGCGUAAAGCGUGCGUAGGUGGUUUGUUAAGUCUGAUGUGAAAGCCCUGGGCUCAACCUGGGAAUUGCAUUGGAUACUGGCAAGCUAGAGUGCGGUAGAGGAUGNCGGAAUUCCCGGUGUAGCAGUGAAAUGGUAGAGAUCGGGAGGAACAUCUGUGGCGAAGGCGGCCAUCUGGACCAGCACUGACACUNAGGCACGAAAGCGUGGGGAGCAAACAGGAUUAGAUACCCUGGUAGUCCACGCCCUAAACGAUGCGAACUGGAUGUUGGGUUCAACUAGGAACUCAGUNUCGAAGCUAACGCGUUAAGUUCNCCGCCU